AACAGGAAAGGAAAAUCCAUUUCCUGAAUUUUGCUCAGAGCACUGUUAAGACUGUACAGAUUACACUAACUUUGCUUGUGUCCUCUGGAAACCAGAAUGGCUCUCACAUCCGAAGAAUUUUGUAAUUCUCAGCCACGAGGAUCCUUUGCCAUUCAAGAGAGCGGGCAGGCGGGCAUUUCUGCCAAUUUGACCCACACAUUUAGUGAUGGCUCUGAAAAAACUGAGCCCAUGACCAUCAAAAGAAGUUCCGUGAGGCCGAUUAACAUGCAGGAGGAGCAAACCCUCUCUGAGGUGGCACCAGGACCUGUUUGGGCUGAGUCACACGAGGAGAAAGUAUUCACUAUGGCCAAGAGUCGGCAUUUUCUGAGGCAACUAGAAAACAUAAAGGAGCAGGGAGUUGACACUACCUCACUUGGAGAAGCAGCCAUCACCGAGGCAGAAAGUACAGUUUCUGUCAUUCCCAGCAUGAAGAAGCGUAGAAUGAACCCACCAAAGCGUACACCAGGAUGGAGAAAAAAGAACGGCAACAGGAGGUUAACACAGAAAAGUAUCAGGACUGCUGUUUGCCUUGGAAUCUUGAUGACAGUCGGGUUGGUACCUGUCUGUGCUUCAUCUUCUGAUUUAAAUGGAGUUAACUGUUUCACCUGCAACAAUACGAAUUGUGAAACUCUUCAUACCAUCUAUGGGUCUGACGACAAACUCCUCUAUGACAAACUCCAAAUUGACGCCAGAAAAGGAUGUUUCAGAGUUCAGCUAAAUGGCUGUUUGCCGUGCCUUGACCAAUUCCCCGUCACCAUCUACUGUUCAAGCAACAUCACAUACAUUGAAGCAGAGGGUGACACCGGAAGCCUCAAAGAUUUCGUUUCCAGUGGAUGUGAGCAGAAGCCUGCAAGCAGUCACGCAGGUAUGAUAUAUUUAUCUUCACUUUUAUACGGUUCCAGCUUAUUGUGACAACAUUUUUUAAUUUUGGUCCAUGCUUAUGAUUAUACUGAACUCUUCCAUGCUGCCCUUCAGGCUCCACCACAGCAGUUCAGCAGCGUUGGUGCCUUUUGCGUUGAAGUCAUUUCCGUUUGAAAACAUUAGAUGAGUAAUUGCCCCCAUGCUCUAUGCUGUCAGCAUGGUUGUAGGAAAAUUGAAUCUGCAUCUUCUUCGAUGAGAGAGCAAAUUUUAUUUUUCCCCUCUUUUUUGGGGGUGGGUUCAAUGUAUUUGGAUUUUCUCACUUCAUUCAAUCUUCAUUUUAAAACUACAAAGGCAUUUAUUAAAAAAAAAGAAAUAAAAAUGAUUCAGUACAUUUUAUUCCUUUUAACGUGAUAUCCAGAAGUAAAACUAAACAUUUUACUUCAAACAUGUUUCUCUUGUUUGCGUAUUGAUGUUUCGGGACAACCACAGAUUCAGGACAGAUCAGGCAAGGUUCAGAUUAGUAAUUUAAUAACAAAAGGCGGCACACCUGGUGGGGAAAAUACACAAACGAAAAACUCGAAGUCUAGCAUGAAAAAAUUACACUGACCCCACUGUGGCAAAGGAACAGCCAAAUAACUAAAAUGAAAAGACACGCUCACACUAAUGACUGAAGCAGAGACACUUAAAAUGAUGGGGGAUAUUUUGUGCCAGGGCUUCCCGGCUUGGUCUGUGGUUGAUACCACGGUGCUUUACCUCACCAAGAUGGCUGGGGUCCAUCACGGCUGUGGAGUGGACCCUGCUGCUGUCCCAGUCUGGGUGGGCACUGUGGCAAUGUUCCUGUGGCUGAGCUGGCUCCUGGUACAAAUAGAUUACCAAUAGCCCAUACUGUUUCCUAACAGCAGAGCUUAGCCAUUAGCUUCUUUUAGAAUUACAGUCCCGUUUUCAUGCCAGUAUUCAUUGUGUGCGGGGUCAUGGGGCAUAUGUUAUACUGGAGGGGAGGAAGCCAAAUGGAUGGGUUGGUUUGAACUUAAAUUGUGGAUAUCUCUUUUUCUUAGUCUAUUUGUUUUUAACUGUAAAACGAUUUUAGCUUUGCAAAGCAUGAAAAGUGCAUUUUAAUAGAUAAAGAUUUGAACUUUUGUCCAAGCAGCUGUGCGCCAUUCCACUUAGCCACAGAUGAGUGGGCGGAACCCUUCAGGAGAAGCCUCAGCCAACCUGCACAGCAAACAAAAGGGGUUGAGCCAUCAUGCUCACUUUGGACUGAUUGCUGCUGGUGGUACGUAUAAACAAUUGUUAAUUAGAAGCAUGUAAAUCCUGUAAAGUUUAAAAUGUUUGCACUAAAAUGUAAAGGAAUUCUGAGCAGUUUCAAGUUUGAUUUCUCUUGACCCAAAUGACAGCACUGUUUCUCUGUUUUACAGCUCUCUUUUUGAUCAUGGUUGGAAUACUUUUUUUAUUAGCUGGCCUGAAUCAAUGUGGAUAAACAACAUGUACUACUCACAACUGAAUCAACUUAGCAACUGAUUUUCCUAGAUUUCUGCGUGUCUGCAGGUAAAACUGUUUGUUUAAAGAAAAAAAAAGUAAAAUUCCCCCAUAAUUAUGCUAGUAAAUCACAUUAAAGAAUUAAAUUUAGUACAGUUUUGGUCACUCUUCCUAGUUGUGAUUGUAAGGUACAAAACAAUAAACCAGAGUGCAGCUAUGUUGCUGACAUAACAGAAACUAUAACUAUCUUAUCUAACCGCCUAUAAUUUGCCAAAAUUUGGAUGUUGUUUGUUUUCCCACGCUGCAGAGGCUGGUGUUCUUUAAAUCCUUCAUACCCCUGAAAUUUUCCUACCAGCACUCACUGCGCAUGCGGGGUCCGAAAUUAAGUCAUAAUUUUCCUUUUUGGCAGCCUACCCAUAAAUCUGUGCUAUUGCUUUUAUCUUGUGGUUUCUACACUGUUUUUUUUUAUGUUUUUGUAACUUUUGGUUUAAAUUUACCUGCUUGAUUCAACUAACACAAUGCUACACUUGCCAACUCAAAUUAGCACUGAACGUUUAGCUCACUAUUUCUGGGACUCCUAAAUUGUUUUCACCCCGCACCACAACUUUGUGGACGAUCCAUGUCCACAGUGCCUCUCUGUCCACGUGGUGAACAUUUCAAAAUCCACAAGGUCUUAUCAAUCGAACACAGUGAGCGCAUCACAAAAUUUAAAAAAAACCUUGGCGGAGCAGAUCAGGACAUUUGAAUAGCUGUAUCUAUCAUUGUGUGCUGCAGGUUGAAAAAUCUCAAGAGGUAGGGAACAGCUCUAGGUUAAGGUUGACAUCAUGAAAUAGGCGGCACUCACAAGGAGCGAAAACUGGUACCUCGGAGAUCGAGUUGUCUUACUUCUGGGUACUCGUACUUCAUUACAAAAUCGCUUUUUGGUGUGAAAGGUAAUAUAUUGUCAUUUAUAUGGAUAAAGUUUACUUUCAAAGGCUUUGAGAAAAGAAUGAUAUAGGCCCUUUAAGUCUUUACAAAAACGUCUAAUGAAUUCUCCUCUUUAAUUGAUUGUUAUAUGCUUUAAUCUUUGUUUACUGUUUCAAUAAAAAAUAAUAAUAACCCAAAA